rnacentral:rRNA from 1 species
UAUCGGCGUGGGANGGGGUCGCGUCCUAUCAGCUUGUUGGUGAGGUAACGGCUCACCAAGGCUUCGACGGGUAGCCGGCCUGAGAGGGCGACCGGCCACAUUGGGACUGAGAUACGGCCCAGACUCCUACGGGAGGCAGCAGUGGGGAAUAUUGCACAAUGGGCGCAAGCCUGAUGCAGCGACGCCGCGUGAGGGAUGGAGGCCUUCGGGUUGUAAACCUCUUUUGUUUGGGAGCAAGCCUUCGGGUGAGUGUACCUUUCGAAUAAGCGCCGGCUAACUACGUGCCAGCAGCCGCGGUAAUACGUAGGGCGCAAGCGUUAUCCGGAUUUAUUGGGCGUAAAGGGCUCGUAGGCGGCUCGUCGCGUCCGGUGUGAAAGUCCAUCGCUUAACGGUGGAUCUGCGCCGGGUACGGGCGGGCUGGAGUGCGGUAGGGGAGACUGGAAUUC